UACAAGUGUCCAAAGCCCUGGCCCAUGGUU
rnacentral:piRNA from 1 species